rnacentral:piRNA from 1 species
AAUCUGAGUUGAGAUGCUCUGCGUGCAU